rnacentral:rRNA from 1 species
UACGUAGGGGGCAAGCGUUGUCCGGAAUCAUUGGGCGUAAAGAGCGCGUAGGCGGCCCUGUAAGUCCGCUGUGAAAGUCAAGGGCUCAACCCUUGGAUGCCGGUGGAUACUGCAGGGCUAGAGUCCGGAAGAGGCGAGUGGAAUUCCUGGUGUAGCGGUGAAAUGCGUAGAGAUCAGGAAGAACACCGGUGGCGAAGGCGGCCUUCUGGACAGCGACUGACGCUGAGACGCGAAAGCGUGGGGAGCAAACAGG